CACGCCGUAAACGAUGGAUGCUAGUUGUUCGGAGUAUCGACCCUCUGAGUAACGAAGCUAACGCGUUAAGCAUCCCGCCUGUGGAGUACGAGCGCAAGCUUAAAACAUAAAGGAAUUGACGGGGACCCGCACAAGCGGUGGAGUGUGUUGUUUAAUUCGAGGAUAAGCGAAGAACCUUACCCAGGUUUGACAUCCUGCGAAUUUCUCCGAAAGGAGAAAGUGCUUUAUUGAAUGCAGUGACAGGUGA
rnacentral:rRNA from 1 species